AAUAUUUUACAAUGGGGGGAAACCUGAUCCAGCCUUCACGCGUGUGUGAUGAAGGCGUUCGGGGUGUAAAGAACUUUUGACAGGGAAGAAACAACACUGGCUAAGACCCAGUGCCAAUGACGGUACCUCUAGCAUAAGCACCGGCUAACUACGUGCCAGCAGCCGCGGUAAUACGUAGGGUGCAAGCGUUAAUCGGAAUUACUGGGCGAAAAGGAUACGCAGGCGGCUAGGAAAGAAAGAUGUGAAGUCCCAGGGCUCAACCUUGGAACUGCAUUCUGAACUGCCUAGCUAGAGUAUGUCAGAGGGGGGUAGAAUUCCACGUGAUGCAGUGAAAUGCGUAGAUAUGUGGAGGAAUACCGAUGGCGAAGGCAGCCCCCUGGGAUAAUACUGACGCUCAGGUACGAAAGCGUGGGGAGCAAACA
rnacentral:rRNA from 1 species